GGUUUGCUGGAGGUAUCAGAAGUGCGAAUGCUGACAUGAGUAACGAUAAAGGGGGUGAAAAACCUCCUCGCCGGAAGACCAAGGGUUCCUGUCCAACGUUAAUCGGGGCAGGGUAAGUCGACCCCUAAGGCGAGGCCGAAAGGCGUAGUCGAUGGGAAACGGGUUAAUAUUCCCGUACUGCUUAUAACUGCGAUGGGGGGACGGAGAAGGCUAGGUGAGCUUGGCGACGGUUGUCCAAGUUCAAGUGCGUAGGUGGGUGUCUUAGGUAAAUCCGGGACGCUGUUAACACUGAGACACGAUGUCGAGUCACUACGGUGAUGAAGUCAUUGAUGCCAUGCUUCCGGGA
rnacentral:rRNA from 1 species